AACAACAGUAGCAAGUGCACUAGAAGAAAAUAGUGAUAAGAUAAUUGGAAAAGAUCAACAAAAAGAAACGAACAGCAAUAUGCAGUUGUCAAAAGCAAUUGAUCCUAUGGAUAUAGAUAUUGAGACCGCUGAGACAUCCAAGAUUGUUACACCGAGUACAUCUAGCAGCAAGCAUUUAAUAAGUCGUGUAGAAGAAACUCCAUGAAAAAGGAAAAUGAAGGAACGGCAUUUAAAAUUACAAGCAGAAAAUAGAAAGCUGCGC